rnacentral:lncRNA from 1 species
GUCCGGGGUGGGCAAAAAAAUGAAAAAUUUUUCAAGGUCCGGGGUGGGCAAAAAAAUUGAAAAUUUUUUCAAGGUCCGGGGUGGGCGAAAAAAUCAAAAUUUUUUCAAGGUCCGGGGUGGGCGAAAAAAUGAAAAUUUUUUCAAGGUCCGGGGUGGGCAAAAAAAAUGAAAAUUUUUUCAAGGUCCGGGGUGGGCGAAAAAAUCAAAAUUUUUUCAAGGUCCGGGGUGGGCAAAAAAAUUGAAAAUUUUUUCAAGGUCCGAGGUGGGCGAAAAAUUGAAAAUUUUUUCGAGGUCCGGGGUGGGCGAAUAAUUGAAAAUUUUUUCAAGGUCCGGGGUGGGCAAAAAAAUUGAAAAUAUUUUGAAGGUCCGGGGUGGGCAAAAAAAUGAAAAUUUUUUCAAGGUCCAGGGUGGGCAAAAAAAUGAAAAUUUUUUCAAGGUCCGGGGUGGGCAAAAAAAUGAAAAUUUUUUCAAGGUCCGGGGUGGGCAAAAAAAUUGAAAAUUUUUUCAAGGUCCGGGGUGGGCAAAAAAAUCAAAAUUUUUUCAAGGUCCGGGGUGGGCAAAAAAAAUGAAAAUUUUUUCAAGGUCCGGGGUGGACGAAAAAAUCAAAAUUUUUUCAAGGUCCGGGGUGGGCAAAAAAAUUGAAAAUUUUUUCAAGGUCCG